rnacentral:rRNA from 1 species
CUAAUACCGGAUAACACUCUGUCCUGCAUGGGACGGGGUUAAAAGCUCCGGCGGUGAAGGAUGAGCCCGCGGCCUAUCAGCUUGUUGGUGGGGUAAUGGCCUACCAAGGCGACGACGGGUAGCCGGCCUGAGAGGGCGACCGGCCACACUGGGACUGAGACACGGCCCAGACUCCUACGGGAGGCAGCAGUGGGGAAUAUUGCACAAUGGGCGAAAGCCUGAUGCAGCGACGCCGCGUGAGGGAUGACGGCCUUCGGGUUGUAAACCUCUUUCAGCAGGGAAGAAGCGAAAGUGACGGUACCUGCAGAAGAAGCGCCGGCUAACUACGUGCCAGCAGCCGCGGUAAUACGUAGGGCGCAAGCGUUGUCCGGAAUUAUUGGGCGUAAAGAGCUCGUAGGCGGCUUGUCACGUCGGAUGUGAAAGCCCGGGGCUUAACCCCGGGUCUGCAUUCGAUACGGGCUAGCUAGAGUGUGGUAUGGGAGAUCGGAAUUUCCUGGUGUAGCGGUGAAAUGCGCAGAUAUCA